rnacentral:rRNA from 1 species
UUGUGGAGCGAUUUGUCUGGUCAAUUCCGAUAAUAAACGAGACUAGCCUACUAAAUAGUUCGAGGACCCCCACAAAGGGGUCCAGCUUAAACUUCUCGGAGGGGACAGGUGGCGUUUAGCCACACGAGAUUGAGCAAUAACA